AGAAACUUAGGAUAAUGUAGACCAAAAACCUUCAAAGUUUUAAGCAUGAGUUAAAAUCUCUUAGUUUCUG
rnacentral:tRNA from 1 species